UACGUAGGGCGCAAGCGUUGUCCGGAAUUAUUGGGCGUAAAGAGCUCAUAGGCGGCUUGUCACGUCGGGUGUGAAAGCCCGGGGCUUAACCCCGGGUCUGCAUUCGAUACGGGCAGGCUAGAGUGUGGUAGGGGAGAUCGGAAUUCCUGGUGUAGCGGUGAAAUGCGCAGAUAUCAGGAGGAACACCGGUGGCGAAGGCGGAUCUCUGGGCCAUUACUGACGCUGAGGAGCGAAAGCGUGGGGAGCGAACAGG
rnacentral:rRNA from 1 species